rnacentral:rRNA from 1 species
UACGUAGGGCGCAAGCGUUGUCCGGAAUUAUUGGGCGUAAAGAGCUCGUAGGUGGUUUGUUACGUCUGCUGUGAAAACCUAGGGCUUAACCCUGGGCUUGCAGUGGAUACGGGCAGACUAGAGGUAGGUAGGGGAGAAUGGAAUUCCUGGUGUAGCGGUGAAAUGCGCAGAUAUCAGGAGGAACACCGGUGGCGAAGGCGGUUCUUUGGGCCUUACCUGACACUGAGGAGCGAAAGCGUGGGGAGCGAACAGG